rnacentral:rRNA from 1 species
AUUGAACGCCGGCGGCAUGCCUUACACAUGCAAGUCGAACGGCAGCACGGGUGCUUGCACCUGGUGGCGAGUGGCGAACGGGUGAGUAAUACAUCGGAACAUGUCCUUAAGUGGGGGAUAGACCGGCGAAAGCCGGAUUAAUACUGCAUACGAACUAAGGAUGAAAGCGGGGGAGCUUAGGGCCAAGCGCCACAGGGUUGGACGAUGGCUGAUUAGCUAUUUGGGGGGAUAAAGGCCUACCAAGGCGACGAUCAGUAGUUGGUCUGGGUGGACAACCAGCCACACUGCGACUGAGACACGGCCCAGAUUCCACGGGAGGCAGCAGUGGGGAAUUUUGGACAAUGGGCGAAAGCCUGAUCCAGCAAUGCCGCUUGUGUGAAGAAGGCCUUCGGGUUGUAAAGCACUUUUGUCCGGAAAGAAAUCCUUGGCCCUAAUACUGUCGGGGUAUGACGGUACCGGAAGAAUAAGCACCGGCUAACUACGUG